CCGAAGACCAGGCAGUUAAAGUCAGGCAGUUAGACGAUGGGGGCUAAGCUCCAUGCGUCGAGAAGGGAAGAGCCUAGAUCUCAAGUUAAGGUCCCUAAAUUCGUGCUAAGUGCAUCACAAGGAAGUGGAGAUUCGUUGACAGUGAGGAUGUUGGCUUAGAAGCAGCCACCAUUUAAAGAAAGCGUAACAGCUCACUCAUCGAGAGUUUCUGCGCCGAAGAUAAUCGGGGCUAAGCACGAUACCGAAACUGAGGAAUUAUUCCGGAUCCGUCUGGAAUGAUUGGUAGGAGAGCGUUCUCAUCCGCGAUGAAGGAUAAGGGGUGACCCAUUCUGGAGCGAUGAGAAGUGAGAAUGCCGGCACAAGUAACCACAAUGCAGGUGAGAACCCUGCACAUCGAAAGACCAAGGUUUCCUUCGCAACGACGAUCGACGAAGGGUUAGUCGGGCCUAAGGGGAUGGCGAACGCCGCACCCGAUGGACAUACGGUUAAUAUUCCGUAACCUUGUACAUAUGUGAUGGAGUGACGGAGUGCUGUAUUUGGUGCCCACAAUUGGAUGUGGGUCACUAACGUGAGGAUGUAUCUUCAGGAAAAUCCGGGAUACGCUAGUCCGAGCAGUGGCGCAAGCUAUCGAUUCGUCGAUGGUGAGGUCACAAAGCGCGCUUCCGAGAAAAACUUCUUAGCUUUAUUGAAUAUAAGUCCGUACCACAAACCAACACAGGUGGUCAGCUCGAGUAGAGUAAGACGAACGAGUGAGAGAUCCUCAAGGAACUCGGCAAAAUAGCGGCCGUAAGUUAGCGAUAAGGCCUGCCCUUCAUUAAGUUGAGGGGCCGCAGCGAAAGAUUCCCUAGCGACUGUUUACCUAAAACACAGCUCCCUGCGAACUCGUAAGAGGAUGUAUAGGGGGUGACGCUUGACCGAUGCCAGAAGGUCAAGUACGGUUGGUGAGAUUAUAUCAAGCUGGACUGUAUAAGCCCUGGUGAAUGUCGGCGAUAACUAUAAUCGUCCUAAGGUAGCGUAAUUCCUUGUCAGGUAAGUUCUGACGUGCACGAAUAGCGUAACGACUGGGGAACUGUCUCGAGGAUUUGCUCGGUGAAAAUACAAUACCGGUGAAGAUGCCGGUUACCUGCAGUUAGACGAAAAGACCCCAGAAGCUUUACUAUAGCUUCGUAUUGGGAGUACGAUUAUCAUGCGUAGCAUAGAUGGGAGAGGUUGAAGCAGUGCUUUCGGGUGCUGUGGACUCGUCAGUGAAAUACCAUUCUUGAUCGUUGUACUUUCUAACCUCGUGAACAUACACGGGAGACAGUGCGUGGCGGGUAGUUUGAGUGGGGCGCUCUCCUCCUAAAGAGUAGCGGAGGAGCCUACAAAGGUUCGCUAGGCGCGUAUGGAAAACGUGCCGGUCGUGUAAUGGCACAAGCGAGCUUAACUGCGAGACGUGCAUGUCAAGCAGAAACGAAAGUUGAGCAUAAUGAGCCUAUCCUUCGCAUUAGAUGCGGGGACAGAUCAACGGAUAAAAGUUACUCUGGGGAUAACAGGCUAGUUCCGCCCAAGCGUCCAUAGCGACGGCGGAGUUCGGCACCUCGAUGUCGGCUCACCACAUCCCGGAGCUGGAGAAGGUUCCAAGGGUUUGGCUGUUCGCCAAUUAAAGUGGUACGCGAGCUGGGUUCAAACCGUAGAGGAGUUCAUACAUAUAUAUGUAUGAGAUGGACUCUUGUACGGUUUGAGCCCCGAGGCAGUACAAAAAAGAAUGUCUUUGAAGUUCUAACGAAAGAAAACAGAAGAUAAAAUCGACAAUGUCACGGCGGUCACGUAUAGGAAUAUACGUUGAACAAAGUACCUUAAUAUCGUGACUGGGAAAC
rnacentral:rRNA from 1 species